CCAGUACAAGGAGGCGUCCUGGUUGUGCUUCUUUCUUCUGGUCCAUGGACAUUGUCAUAAUGGUCACCUUAUCGCAGUGUAUUAUUUUUGGAUCUCAUAUUCCUCAAGGCGCUCCAUCCUCUGAUUUGAUGUCGGCCGAUCUGAGAAAUAAGAGGAGGAAUAAUCCAGCAGAAGAAUUUGGUGAAGAAGAACAAG